CGCAGACGAACGCGGGCGGCGUGCCUAAUACAUGCAAGUCGAGCAAAGUUUUGAAAAGCUUUGCUUUUCAAAACUUAGGCGGCGGACGGGUGAGUAACACGUGGGCAACCUGCCUCUUGAGACGGGGAGAACUCCGGGAAACCGGAGCUAAUACCGGAUAACACAUAUCUUCGCAUGAGGAUAUGUUAGAAGGUGGCUUUUAGCUACCACUCAAGGAUGGGCCCGCGGCGCAUUAGCUAGUUGGUGAGGUAACGGCUCACCAAGGCGACGAUGCGUAGCCGACCUGAGAGGGUGAUCGGCCACACUGGGACUGAGACACGGCCCAGACUCCUACGGGAGGCAGCAGUAGGGAAUCUUCCGCAAUGGACGAAAGUCUGACGGAGCAACGCCGCGUGAGUGAUGAAGGUUUUCGGAUCGUAAAGCUCUGUUGUUAGGGAAGAACAAGUACCUGUUAAAUAAGCAGGUACCUUGACGGUACCUAACCAGAAAGCCACGGCUAACUACGUGCCAGCAGCCGCGGUAAUACGUAGGUGGCAAGCGUUGUCCGGAAUUAUUGGGCGUAAAGCGCGCGCAGGCGGUUCCUUAAGUCUGAUGUGAAAGCCCACGGCUCAACCGUGGAGGGUCAUUGGAAACUGGGGAACUUGAGUGCAGAAGAGGAGAGCGGAAUUCCACGUGUAGCGGUGAAAUGCGUAGAGAUGUGGAGGAACACCAGUGGCGAAGGCGGCUCUCUGGUCUGUAACUGACGCUGAGGCGCGAAAGCGUGGGGAGCGAACAGGAUUAGAUACCCUGGUACUCCACGCCGUAAACGAUGAGUGCUAAGUGUUAGAGGGUUUCCGCCCUUUAGUGCUGCAGCAAACGCAUUAAGCACUCCGCCUGGGGAGUACGGUCGCAAGACUGAACUCAG
rnacentral:rRNA from 1 species